rnacentral:sRNA from 1 species
GAAGAAGCCAUGGAUUUAAUAAAUAGAGAAACAAUGUAUGAAUGGAAGCUACAAACUGUGAUACAGAUAAGUCAAUCUUGGGAAGAAGGCUUGAAACUGAAUGACAACGGCUUACAGAAAUCAUCCUCUCUAAAGCGCAUUGAUUUAAUUCCAGUAUCCUCAGUGGCUUCUUCCAUCAAGAAGACUGGGAAGAAGAAGUCAAAAUCCUACCAACAUUAUUAGACCAAGUAUCCUUGGACCAUUAAAAAGAAAAGGUGAAAUGGCAUUUCAAUAUCAACCAAGAAAGAUCUUCCAAGGCACAACCAACAUGCUUUCUUCUGAUACUUCCCAACUGUCAGAAAAUAAUGUGUGUCUACUUCCAGCUACUUUUGAUGGAAACAACAGCAAUGCUGGAUCUUCUGGUAAUUCGUCAGCUGAAAUCGGCACUGUCACAAACUCUCCUGU